rnacentral:rRNA from 1 species
GGUUUAAUUCGAUGCAACGCGAAAACCUUACCACCUUUGACAUGUACGGAAUCCUUUAGAGAUAGAGGAGUGCUCGAAAGAGAGCCGUAACACAGGUGCUGCAUGGCUGUCGUCAGCUCGUGUCGUGAGAUGUUGGGUUAAGUCCCGCAACGAGCGCAACCCUUGUCAUUAGUUGCUACAUUCAGUUGGGCACUCUAAUGAGACUGCCGGUGACAAACCGGAGGAAGGUGGGAUGACGUCAAGUCAUCAUGCCCCUUAUGUUCUGGGCUACACACGUGCUACAAUGGCCGGUACAGACGGACGCAAAGCCGCGAGGUGGAGCAAAUCCUAAAAAGCCGGUCUCAGUUCGGAUUGCAGGCUGCAAUUCGCCUGCAUGAAGUCGGAAUCGCUAGUAAUCGCAGGUCAGCAUACUGCGGUGAAUACGUUCCCGGGCCUU